CACGUAGGCACCAAGCGUUGUCCGGAUUUAUUGGGCGUAAAGGGCUCGUAGGCGGCCAACUAAGUCGGAUGUGAAAUCCCCAGGCUCAACUUGGGAACUGCAUCCGAUACUGGAUGGCUUGAAUUCGGGAGAGGGAUGCAGAAUUCCAGGUGUAGCGGUGAAAUGCGUAGAUAUCUGGAGGAACACCGGUGGCGAAGGCGGCAUUCUGGACCGACAUUGACGCUGAGGAGCGAAAGCCAGGGGAGCAAACUGG
rnacentral:rRNA from 1 species